rnacentral:misc_RNA from 1 species
GAAAUGCGAUAAGUAAUGUGAAUUGCAGAAUUCAGUGAAUCAUCGAAUCUUUGAACGCACAUUGCGCCCGCCAGUAUUCUGGCGGGCAUGCCUGUUCGAGCGUCAUUACAACCCUCAGGCCCCCGGGCCUGGCGUUGGGGAUCGGCGGAAGCCCCCUGCGGGCACAACGCCGUCCCCCAAAUACAGUGGCGGUCCCGCCGCAGCUUCCAAUGCGUAGUAGCUAACACCUCGCAACUGGAGAGCGGCGCGGCCACGCCGUAAAACACCCAACUUCUGAAUGUUGACCUCGAAUCAGGUAGGAAUACCCGCUGAACUUAAGC